CUGACCACCAAAGCCACACCAGCCCCUUGCCUCUGUCGGUUGCAUGACCUAUCAAGUGGGAAGCACGGCAAAGAAAAGCAAAAUAUAAAAGAUUAGUUUGCCUGAAGAAGAAAGUCAUUUUUAAAGUGCUAUAUUAGUUAAAUAGAACCUAUCAAGUUUCUUCUCACUGUGGUUCUCCUGUCGUCUUCUAGGACAUACGCGGGACAUGGAAUUUACUUUGCCAAAAGGGACUUCCCCCCAUUUAUCCAGGACAUAGUUGUGAAUCGUACAUUGUAACACAAGGACCGGCUCAUUGCAGGCAGUAUAGGCGGGAAAGCCAGACAGGAAGUAGAGGUGCAACAAAGAGACUGGGAG